CCUAUCAUUGAAGAAGAAGAAGAUCGAAUGCUGGACCAGUACGACGGGCAAAAUUUCAAAUCUCCGCAUGAAGAAGCGCUCAACAGCGUUCCAUUCGCCCGCAUCUGAAGAGCAUCGGAUGAUCAGGCUGGUGCAGGGCGCUGUUCUACGACUGUUCCAGAGUACGGACACUUCUGUGCUGCUCGUGAAAAAUACAUCCCCAUGCUCGGAUUUCGACUGCUGCAUCUCAUAGCCGAUUCUCAAAUACGUAGAGCCUUCAGCAAAAUCAGAGGCCACACAUCGGAACGACGUUCUUUUACGCUCGAAUCCUUCACGAAAGUUGUCCCUCUCGACAUCGAAGUCCGGCCCUCAUGUCUCCGAAAGGGAAAUCCCGAUUCUGGACCAUAACCCUGGUCUGCUGUGUCUACGUAUCUCUCGCUGCCGUGGCUGUCCUCAGCUUCAAGGCAGAAUCAAUUGUCAUGUUCGUCAUCCUAAUCGCCAUCGCUUUGGCAUCCCUCGUGUCCAUCCUUUUCCCUCCGUCCGAAGACACACAACCCGAAGACUUCCUCAGCUCCGAAGACAGCGAGGACUCGCUGACGAGCUGCGAGACCUGCGUCCCCUCAAAGAUCCCGUCUCCCCCCAAGCAGUCUUCUCGACCAGAGACUCCUCUCUACACUCCGUGCGAUUCGCUUUCCUGCUUCCUGUACCGUCCCUGCACCCUUCUUGCACCACACAGGCUGGCCGAUCCUUCUGCCGCCUCGUCAUCGAACGGUCCGGAGAGAUGCCUGUCACCGGAGCAGAGGACGGCCGCGUCACCGCUGGGGGACAACCCGGAUUAUGAGCUCACACACUCUAAACUGAUUUCCAACGAACACCUCGGCGAUGCCCCAAACGUACAUCAUGGUGUAGGGGACAUUGGUUCGAAGCCGGCGCAGGUUUAUGACACCUACUUAACGUUCCUCGGUUCUCCCACGCCUAAGACGCCGGACACGGUGAUAGACUUGAGAGAUCUAGAGCUUGCGACGUUAUCUUCGCUGGGCUCUAGCAGUAGCGAGGACGAUAUUGAGUCGAUACGAGAAUCCGGUAAGAUCGACAGAAAUGGCGCCAAAGGAUUGGCUACGCAGGUUGCAGAAGUUCACCGGGUUUCUCCGUGUAGGCCUUCUACGCGGCAACGGAUGACGCAGUUGUGUUCCGCGAACGGCGACAUUGAGCUGUCUCCUUUACCAUCUCUAUUUCAGAGAGAUAAUCCGUGUACCCCAUAGCGCUGAAGCAUGACGGUACUUUUGUGAUACGCAGCAUGUGUGUAGACACCGUUGAUUUGCCAUCUACCAUCAACAACGCAACGUGACGCUGUGUAUUCUGCAGGACGCUCGAGGCGUGCGUGACUGUCUUAUUUUAGAGGAAAAGAAAAACACGUGUGAUUCUUUAUAUUAAUAUAAUGCUGAUAUUAAGGAGAAA